rnacentral:lncRNA from 1 species
GUAGGAUCAAAGAAUAGAAGGGGAAAAAAUGAGGAGUGGAAAAGCUCGAUUUAACCUUUAAGUACAGAUAACUAUCAGGGUACGAAAAGGCAAGAAAACAUGACAAAAUGAAAGGAUUAUUGAUGGGCAAUAAAGGAAGCGUAGUAGGUUUACCUUGAGAUUUCACUGAGCUAAUAUACUGGCUCCCAUUUCUAUGUUUAUUGUAGGAAAAAGAGAAAAACACUAAUCCAGGGAUAGAGCUGACUAGGGAUGCCCAAGUCAAAAAGACUUUGUAGCACUGGGCUUGGCAGAGGGUCCUGAAGCUAAAUGCAGAAGACUGCGGGAAAUGUCUUCAACUGGGGCUAAAGGUCGUAAGCAAGGACAAUGAACCUGGAAUUUGGAGGAAUUCAUACUCCAGUGAAGAAUUUCCAGACCCCUCAUGAGAAUAGCAGAUUGCCUACUCACCAGAGAAUACUCAAGCUGAUACUAAGCAGCCCCUGGAGAGUAAGCAAAUGAUUAGAAGGGUAGAUUUCAGGCAAGCAAAAGGGUGAGAGCCCAGAAUCUCCAUGUGAAUGACCCUAAAAUUACAGCUAAUAUAGGAAGUGGCUUCCUUGUACCUCUAGAAAUUGAACUCUCAGAACCUGACUGACAGUCUGCUCUUAAGAACAUUACCUCAAUCUGGAGAGAAAUGUGUGUUUCUUCUCCUAUAUGGAUUUCAGACAGAAGCAGAAGGAGGCUUAGAGGUUCUUCGUCACAAGUUGCCAAAAUGAAACAGAACUGUGAAAAGAAAAUGGAGAUGCUUCUUCAGGAGGUGCCCGUGAUGUGAUUUACUUGAUGAUUAUGGCCUGCAGGGUAUUGAGAUGGGAUUGUGUAACUUAAAUAAACUGGAUAUGAGUAGAGAUCUGAAAGGUUUUUCAAAAACAUUCAGCUUUACUUUUUUUU